GGGCGGUUAGCUCAGUUGGCUAGAGCGCCUCGCUUACACCGAGGAGGCCGUUGGUUCGAGUCCAUCACCGCCCACCA
rnacentral:tRNA from 4 species